rnacentral:pre_miRNA from 1 species
UGAGAUACAGCGGUCGUUUGAUACUCAGCGAUUUUGUCUCAGCUUCAAACGCAUGUAUCUUGAC